CGUGUAGGUGGUUCUCCAAGUCUUUGGUGAAAUCUCCUGGCUUAACUGGGAGGGUGCCAGAGAAACUAGAGAACUUGAGGACAGCAUAGGGGAGUGGAAUUCCCGGUGUAGUGGUGAUAUGCGUAGAGAUCGGGAGGAACACCAGUGGCGAAAGCGGCUCUCUGGGCUGUAUCUGACACUGAGGCGCGAAAGCGUGGGGAGCAAACAGGAUUAGAUACCCUGGUAGUCCACGCCGCAAACGAUGGAUACUAGGUAUGGGGGGUAUCGACCCCCUCCGUGCCGAAGCUAACGCUUUAAGUAUCCCGCCUGGGGACUACGGCCGCAGGCUAAA
rnacentral:rRNA from 1 species